rnacentral:rRNA from 1 species
UACGAAGGGGGCUAGCGUUGCUCGGAAUCACUGGGCGUAAAGCGCACGUAGGCGGACCUUUAAGUCAGGGGUGAAAUCCUGGAGCUCAACUCCAGAACUGCCUUUGAGACUGCAUCGCUUGAAUCCAGGAGAGGUGAGUGGAAUUCCGAGUGUAGAGGUGAAAUUCGUAGAUAUUCGGAAGGACACCAGUGGCGAAGGCGGCUCACUGGACUGGUAUUGACGCUGAGGUGCGAAAGCGUGGGGAGCAAACAGG